rnacentral:lncRNA from 1 species
CUUCUCCCUCCGGAGGGAGGCGAGGCCGCGACGGGCCGGCGGGCGCUGCGGUCGGCCCCAGGCGCCUGGGUGCACCUCAGAUGCAAGGACUAGAGAAACCCGCGGACGCCAGGGCCACUUCCGUGUCACGUCGCGGGUGAUGCGCCAUCUCAGGAGCGCUAUGUGCCCUCCUGUGGUCAGCGCGAGGGAACUCUGACCUCCGCAAGCCUGAGGAGGACGACGUGGGGCCCCAGGCCCUGCCGGGUUCUGUUAGCCUCUGGCGGGAGCGCGGCAUGGAGCGGGGAGGUUCCUGCCAGGAAGCCUCACGGACGGGGACACCACCGGACACCUCCUACGCCCAUAUGUGAGGUUCUGGACAACCUGUUGGGGACCCAGCCGGCACAGGCCGAUUACACUGACCAUAUUUUAUUUCCUAUGUUCUUUUUUAUUUUUUCUUAACAGUACUUUUAUUGCAACAUCAUGUAACUUACUGAACUGUUUACAAAUGCAACGCUCGGCCUUCGAGACGAUUAAAAAAAAAAAAUUAAGAACUAGAAUUUUACAUCGUGA